UUAGGUGCAUGAGCUCUUCUGUGAGCCUGGGCAGAGAACCCAAGCAGCAUCAAGGGCUUUUUGUGCUAGAUGCAAUAGAAAUACCAGUCAAAACAAACAAAGCCAGUUCCUUCCCCAGGCAGCUCACAGCUUAAUCAUAAAUACAAGUAAGCAACAAGCAAGGACGGGAAAGCCAGGAUAACAGCUGCUUAUGUAAAUAUUUGGAUUUAAGACUUUUAAAGCAAGAUAGAAGCAGCUGCUCUACCCCAGUUUUCACUACUUUAAUCAUAUUUUACCUGAUUGGUUUCAAAGCAUGCAGGCAAGUGGCUCAAACCACAGAGUUUAAAAUGCCUAAACACAGGGCUAGGAACAAAGCCUGCUAGUUAUCUGCUGUGGCUUCACGUUUUUCCCUGUGUCGCUCGUCUCCCAAACGCUAUGCCCUACUUUGCACACGUGACCAAGGGAGCAAAGACCCCCAUGCGAAACAAUAAGGUCAGGCAGAAGCAGAAUGAGGGAGUUACUCCUGCAGACAGCUCACGUACUGCAUCUAUCUCCACUGUCAUGCUGCAAAAAGGAAGAGCAAAAACUGGAAUGGAUUCAGGUGCUUACUACAAAUUCAGAAACUUACACCGUGGCAGUAUUAGCUGUAGAGAUAAUUUUGAAUAAAUAGAUUGAGAUUAAGGGAUGACUUGACUCAAAACUACACCAGCUGCAUUUACAAAAA